CUGCCGAGGCUGUUCGCCGCGUGCUCGGGGCGGCCGCGGGGCUCCGCAGGGCCUCGGCGGUGAGGGCGGCUGUGGGAUGGCCUACGGGCCAGCGGCUCUCUCACCUGCUGGCGGCCGGGGCGCGGCGCACCUCUCGGCAGCCGCGCGUUCGCUGUUGUGCUGUGGCCUCUUGCACGGCGGCAUGCGGUCAACAGUCUGCAGAGUGUCCGAAUGAAUAGUCGGAAAUCUCGCAGAAAAGAUGAUACCGUUUCUCAUAACAUAUGAGACCAACCUUCUCCCACGGAGGCGAGCAAACCAAACCUUUGGCAACACACCCUCGACUAUGCGAGCUGACAGCGGUGAAAUGUGGUUAGUGAUCCAGAUGCUGCGUCAGGGAGGGACGGAUUUGUGAGGAGGUCUUAGCAGAGAAGUCAAAGAUCCUGUGGAUAUACAGUACCUACGAAUCUAUACUUCAGCCUCCAAUGUUGUGAGCAUUUGGGCACACCAAAGAGACCACACUGGAAGGGGACAGAAGAAAGAAAAGGGACAAAACAAAUGAGGCUACAGUGAAGUCUUUCUAAAAAGAGUGUUAGGGGAACCAUUGCUUAUCAGGCUAAACUUCUGAGGUAUCUUGUGUUGAACUUAGGAAUUCUGAGCAGAAAUGCAGGUGACUAUAUCUGUAACUAAAGUGUAAAAACCAAAUAUGUCUUAUACCAAGAGAAACCUGCAGUACAGCUGGUAGGCUGCACUUACCUGGCUAGUCUCUUUCCCAUCCUAAUGAUUAGUCUGUGAGCUUUACAUAUAUGCAUGAAAGCAAGCAUUUUUACACAGACCCCAAUUAUUUUAUGUUUUUUUUCACGAUAGAUAGGAGCAUGCUGAAACAGACUGUGGUUUUUGCAUUGGCUGUGCUUAAAAUUUAUACGUAGUGUAUGAAAUGCUGUGUGGAAAGAAACUGUGACUAGCUAGGAGAAACCCAUAAUUGCUAAACCAGACGGUAGACUCCUGGUAAAAACGCUGCAUCGGUGAUGAUAUUGACAUUGAUGUCUCCAGAACACAGAACCCAGGGAGUCUUACCACUAACAAUAAUGUCAGAAGCAUGAACUUUCAGAGGGCUGAAGAAGAUGGCUGCUUGUUCCAUGACAUGUGUCGGAACUGGUGUUUUUGUGAUGACUGGUGUUUCUGCCAACCUCGAGGUGCCUUCCUCCUCCUUUUCCGACAUCUAUAUGGAAAAUGGAUCUGCAAGGCCCCAAGCAUGCUACUGCUCGGUAGAGAGGCAGUAUGUAUGUCAGAUGGGAAAGAACCAUUAAAUCAUGUUGUUUCAGUGAGCUCAGUGAAACUGAGGCAUUCCACUACCUUACUGACACAGAGUGCUAUUCCCUGGAGAUCUGCACAAGAAAGGGUAUUUCUGCAAAUCAGUUGUAGUAAACAGCUGACCUGGCACAUUCACGCAAAUCCACAGCAUGAAGAGGAACCACAAAGAUGGGCACAGAUAGACAGCACAGACUGCGUUUGUCUGAAAGGCACAUUUCUAGUAUCAUCAGACGGUGAUUAAGGAUCCUUCUCCACUGGGUUCUUGCCUGCAGGACCAAUGAGAUUUCCUAGACAGGUUACAAGCUUAACACAGACUAUCUUAAAAGCAGCAAAGCAACCUACUGCAUCUCCAGAACAGACGGAGAUCGGAAGCAUUUCCCCAAGCACGCUGAGAGGUGAGAGAUAACAUCUGUACUGACACAUCUGUAGGCUAUUUCCAGAAAUAUGACAGUGCCCCACAUGUAAGGUAAUAAAGAGAGUGAUUAUGCAUUUAGAUAACAGUAUAAAACCAAUGCAAAGUUUACCUUGUGCUUUGUCAGUGAAAGAUGGAAGACAUGUAAGCAAUUUAUAAGUGCUGCUUUUGAACGACUCAGUGUUGGUCUGUCAAGAUAGAUGCAUGCCCUGUCAACCGUAUAUGUAACACCAGAGUGCCUCCCCUGGGAAAGUCACCUUCAGAGCAUCUCUACAAACAAGAUUGUGUGGUUAAGUCCAGCUAGGACUGAGGCAGAGGCAUUGAGGGCUGGGCCAGCCACAGACAGUGAGAAGAGGUAAAUUGCACUAGUCCUAUUUUUGGCUCUACCAAGGAGAUGCUUCAGCCUGGCCUAUGUUCUCCAGCUGUGACACUAGGAGUUUUGGUUUUGUUUUUUUCUGGGACCAUGCAAUACCAUUUUAGACUUAGCACAGCUUUCUAAAGCUGCUCCUGUAAGCAAAAGACUUGCUCUCCUUUACGUAAUGUGGCCCUGGAAACAACGGAGAGGAAAAUAACUGGGCAUCCCAGAAAACAUCACCUUUGCUUAUGAAUCCCAUUUAUCACAUUGGUGAAGGAACGGUGUCUUUUCAGAAAUUUUAAGCAAUACUUUGACAAACCAGCUCCAUUUAAUCUCUACUCCAAGAGAUCUGGGAGUAGUAAAGUAAUUUUUCUUGUUGACUGAAGAGUUUCUUAAAAUGUACCACAAUAUUAAAGAGACAGUUAAUAUUUUGACCCGUUAUUAUUUUCUUAAUUUCCCUGUCGCAGCCUUCAGGAUUCUCCCUUGUUCUUCCUACUAGUCCAGAAAUCUGUGUACAAAGUGUAUUACUUAAUUUCAAUUACAAUGUUAAUUACAGAAGACAAGUGGUUACUGAAUCUUGCACCAUAAUUAAUCAACCUGAUAUUUACUUACUACAUUGUUCAUUCUGGAUUAAGCUGUAGCUGGACAAGCAGGGCAAGGAAAGGGAGUGACAGGAGCAUUAUCAUGGCACACUGCCUCCCAUUGGGAAAGUUCAUCUUCCUUCUGAAAGAGACGCCUUCAGGGAUCAUGUAAUUUGAAUUCCCUGUGAAUUUAGUGUCAUCUUAGCUUGACCAGCUCUGGAAGAACAUAUUAACCUCCUCUUGUGAUUUUCAGAGAACCAUUCUAAUUUAGCAAGUAAUUAAGGGUCACAUGUAGGAUAAAGAGCUAGAUAAGCUUGGAUUACGCACAGGAAGCUUUGUUUCCAAGGCAACCCUAGCAGAGGGGGUGUUAAUGCUGAGGUCAGUCAGUUAAUGAACUGGGAUGGUAACUGGCUGCAAAAUGUAUUAGAACUGGGGAAAUGAAACUAACAAUUGCAUUACCAUUUAAUGAUUUGAUGAUAGAAAACAAAUGCCUACAAAGCUAGUUAUCACUGAAAAUACUGGAGACGAAGGUUACAGGCAGCGGGAGCAUUCUGCUAAGUGAGGUCACGAGAAGUCCAAAACAAUGACGCUUGACAAACUUCUUUUUUUUUUUUUUUUUUUUUU